rnacentral:lncRNA from 1 species
AUUCCUACUUUUCAACAUUAUUUGGUUUCACUUUGAGAAACUCCGCCAAAAAUCACCAGCCCAAAAUCUUGUCCAUUAUAUAUACUAACCAAAAUCAUAAUUUUCUAGGUUACUCAGAAAUAACUGAAAAAGAGUUGCUCAAUAAGAAGAAGACUACUUGGUAGAGCAUUCACCUUGACUUUUCCCAUAGAGGUUAGUAGCUAGCUAGCUUCUAUAAUUUUGGAUCAUAUUUUCAACAUACAACAAAGACAUGGAAAGUGCCUUGUAAUGAAAACCUUGUUCUAGAGUUUUUUUGUAUCUGAAAUCUAGAAUAGAUUGACAUGAAAAUGGGACAGACUUUACUGAGUCAUGCUCUAAUUUCAAUCCUUCCAGAUAAAAAUAACACAACUAUGGUUUGAUAGAGAAAAAAAAUGAUGAAACUUUGUCCCUCUUCUCUUCUCCAAUAAUGCAUCAGAUCAGAUCAGGUCAGAUGUCCCCAUCCUUCGGCCGCCAUUUUCACACUGUCCAAGCUUUUUGGCUGUACAGGAGAUCACUGCAUGCUUCUCAUCUGCAGGAUGACAACAACCCAUUUCAAUGAUUGUUUCCAAAACUGAACUAAGGUCAUCAUAUCACACAGCUUGCUCUAUCUAGCUCAUAUAAGAAGGCUCAACAAUGGUUGGUGCAAAAUCCUUUGUUUCUUGCUGUUUGCAUUUAUUGUUGCAGAUUGUUCUGUCUCCAAAACUUCCCCCUUUGCUUCUGUGACCGUCAAAUGUUUUGUUAUACAGGAUUUUCCAGCUGGCUAACUAAGCCUGCAAGUCACCAAUUGUUAUAUAUACUAACCAAAAUCAUAAUUUUCUAGGUUACUCAGAAAUAACUGAAAAAGAGUUGCUCAAUAAGAAGAAGACUACUUGGUAGAGCAUUCACCUUGACUUUUCCCAUAGAGGUUAGUAGCUAGCUAGCUUCUAUAAUUUUGGAUCAUAUUUUCAACAUACAACAAAGACAUGGAAAGUGCCUUGUAAUGAAAACCUUGUUCUAGAGUUUUUUUGUAUCUGAAAUCUAGAAUAGAUUGACAUGAAAAUGGGACAGACUUUACUGAGUCAUGCUCUAAUUUCAAUCCUUCCGGAUAAAAACAACACAACUAUGGUUUAAUAGAGAAAAAGGAUGGAACUUUGUCCCUCUUCUCUUCUCCAAUAAUGCAUCAGAUCAGAUCAGGUCAGAUGUCCCCAUCCUUCGGCCGCCAUUUUCACACUGUCCAAGCUUUUUGGCUGUACAGGAGAUCACUGCAUGCUUCUCAUCUGCAGGAUGACAACAACCCAUUUCAAUGAUUGUUUCCAAAACUGAACUAAGGUCAUCAUAUCACACAGCUUGCUCUAUCUAGCUCAUAUAAGAAGGCUUUUUGUAUAAACACUUAAAAUGGAACAAACAAAUUUUGAACUUGGAUUGGAACUCAAUUGGUACUCAUCAAGGAAGAAACAAGGGAACACAUUUACAUCCUGCAAGUUCUUUCAGUCGGAUCUUUCCCUCUCUGUACUUUGGACUACUUACAGGACAAAUUAAACUGGGUUGGAGGGAAAAAAUG